GCAUUUGAAAUAUUUAUAAAAUUAUUUAAGAAAAUUACAAGUGAAAAAGAUUAUAAUCUUUUAAAAAUUAGAAGUGAUCAUGGUAUAUAAUUUAAAAAUUAAAUUUUUAAAAAAUUUUGCUUUGAAGAUAGAAUUAAUCAUAACUUUUUAGCAUCUAGGACACCUCAGCAAAAUGUGAUGGUAGAAAAGAUAAAUAAAACUUUGC
rnacentral:lncRNA from 1 species